GAAAAAAAGAACUUGGGCUUGAAUGGCUUCUCUCUCUUCCUGGAAAGGCUGGACGUCUUGGGUCUUCAAAUCUGCUAAUGUGGCCUCUGGGAAGGAGAUGAAGAGGUGACAUUUCCCUGAACCCUCUGUCAAGGAGUACCUCUGAGGGAUAAGUUUUCGGAGUUGGAGAUAGACUCCCCGUGGCCUUGUGGGGACCCUGUACGGCCAACCAAGAUGGCAGCUGUCCUUGGUGCUUCUGAAAAUCAGCCCCGGCCAUGCGGAGCCGCCUGGAGAGCCAAGCUGGACGGAGCCCACUGCCGGGGAAGAGAAGGCCAGGUGGUUUCCUAGCGAUGAUGCCUGAGCUGUGCGCUCCAGACGGGGCCCUAAAUGAAUCGCCAGUCUCUAUUUAUGAGGAAGUCAUGAUCUCGCGGUUCGUGAGUUUGAGCCCGGCGUCGGGCUCUGUG